CCUACGGGGUGCAGCAGUGAGGAAUAUUGGUCAAUGGGCGCGAGCCUGAACCAGCCAAGUAGCGUGAAGGAUGACUGCCCUACGGGUUGUAAACUUCUUUUAUAAAGGAAUAAAGUGAGGCACGUGUGCCUUUUUGUAUGUACUUUAUGAAUAAGGAUCGGCUAACUCCGUGCCAGCAGCCGCGGUAAUACGGAGGAUCCGAGCGUUAUCCGGAUUUAUUGGGUUUAAAGGGAGCGUAGAUGGGUUGUUAAGUCAGUUGUGAAAGUUUGCGGCUCAACCGUAAAAUUGCAAUUGAUACUGGCAGCCUUGAGUGCAGUUGAGGUAGGCGGAAUGCGUGGUGUAGCGGUGAAAUGCUUAGAGAUCACGAAGAACUCCGAUUGCGAAGGCAGCUUACUAAACUGCCACUGACGUUGAUGCUCGAAAGUGUGGGGAGCAAACAGGAUUAGAUACCCUGGUAGUC
rnacentral:rRNA from 1 species